CGAUAGUCCCGAAGUGUCGGGAGAAAAUCCUUUUGUGGCGGGGUUCGCCACAAAAGAUUGCAACGUCCCGAAGCUUCGGGAGCGGGA
rnacentral:sRNA from 2 species